rnacentral:rRNA from 1 species
CACACGACUCUCGGCAACGGAUAUCUCGGCUCUCGCAUCGAUGAAGAACGUAGCGAAAUGCGAUACCUGGUGUGAAUUGCAGAAUCCCGCGAACCAUCGAGUCUUUGAACGCAAGUUGCGCACAAGGCCACUCGGCCGAGGGCACGCCUGCCUGGGCGUCACGC